CGCCCGCUCCUGGCUCCUGUGUAGGCCUCAGUCAGUCUGAAUGUUAUUGCAAGGCCAAGCAGGGAUCAUGGAGCCGGCUGACAUGGCGACAGCAAAGGUAGGAUGGAAAUGCUGCCGGCCGCACUGUGCGUAAGUGGCUUCGCUUGGCGA
rnacentral:lncRNA from 1 species